CCCUCCUCUGCAUCCCCGGUGUGUUUUCCUCCAGAGUUCAGGUGGUAUAUCAGCUGGUCUGGCCACUACCCCGGCCGGCAUUAGCGCGAUCAGCUGUUCUCGAGAGUAAACAAAGGCAGCGUGUUCCGGUGGAAGCGGCAUAAUAACAACAACACGUAGAAAAGCUAUGUGCGCAUGCGCGAAGGUUUUUAACUUUCUUAACUUUUAUUCUCUUUUGUUCGUUCUUGUUUCUUCACUGUAACUCUGUGAAGUCCUGUCCUCUCUAACGAGGUUGUUUUCAGAGAGUUUUCGUGCUUUUCUACGUGUUGUUUUUAUUAUGCCGCUUCCACCGGAACACGCCGCCUUUGUUUACUAGGUACAAGUGCCUACACUUUCAUCGUCUACCUUUCCAUGACCAUGAGAUACUGCAGUUGUGGCUAGUUGUUCUUCAGCUGGAUGUGCGAAUGUAGCAGUAUACAUGUGCUACCUGUCAUUCAGUGCUGUUGGGUAUUUAGCGCCACAGGUGGCCGUUAUGAGGUGGGCCAGUAUAAAAGCCACCACCCUUCCUGGCUAUUCCUUUUGCGCCUCUGUCGUCACCGGUGUGUCACUUCCGGGUCAUAGGUCGUUGACCCGACAGGGCAGCUGCUCGGUGUUUCCCAUAUGUGUGGCGUAGUUUGUGCGUGGUAAGUGUCCUCCCUUUCUUGCCAUUGUAGCUGAUGCUGUCUGAGGGCUAACAUUAGUGUGGUCACAGGUAAAUGCCAGCAGUGGCCGGUCUUCUCUCUCCCUCCCUCCUCCGGUGCGAAUGAGUGGUGUCCCUAAACAGGUAUGUGUGUUAGUAUAGUAAUCAACCGCAGUAUUUACGGUUAAAUGUAGUGACGCUAAUGGUAUGUAUUAGGUGUAACGUGCAAUCAGCUGAUUGGGGUCGCUGCUGCUUUGUCCUAUUUCAAAUGCUGCUGCUUUGCCUAGUCUCGACGCUGCUGGUCUGAGACGGUCUCCACGUCGCUUGGCUGCGGGGCUGCUCUUGCGCUCUGUUUGGCUUCAUCUGGCGGUCGCCGCGGCCUGGCGUCUGCGGCCAGAGCAGCUCUGUUAGACUCACGCCUGUGUGUUUUAACUGGGCCUGGCCUCCAUGUGUGCGUGUGUGAAUGAGUGUUGGGUUAUUUGAGUAAUUUUGUUAUUUUGGAUUGAUUACUUAUUUAAAUUUGUUUUGCUGUCUUUAGUUUACUUUCCCUUUCUUAAAGUGGGCAGUUAUUGAUAUUGGUUAAGAUUAUUUUCCCUUUUGUUUCAAUUUGUUUAUUUCUCUUUUUAGUUGCUGGAGACUGGUGGUGGCGGCGCUGGUGCCCGGGUGGUGGUAUCCCCUUCUGUCUGCUGGGUCCGGGGUAGCGGGUUUCACUUCACUGAGUGUGUGUCACGUAUGUCGGGUGUUUUUGAGUUGAUUUCUUAUUUUGGGUGAGUUCCCCCCCUCGCACUAAGCCCCUGUCCAUGCACUCGGCUCCAGCCCCCUCCUUUUUGUUUGAUUUCCCUGUUUAGAUUUGCUUUUGUAUGAAUGAAACUGAAAUCUUUUUAACUAACUAUUUAACAAUAAAAUUGUAUAUUUUUCUAUAAAUACCUGAACCACGUCUCAUGCCUUACUGAGUCAACUUACCUGUGUGCUUUCCAAAUUAAUUCUCUGGGUGAAAUUCCCAGGGUGGCGUUGUCGGUUCCCUUCCCUAAUUUGGUUGUUGGUCAAAUUAUUAGG
rnacentral:lncRNA from 15 species